GAUGGAGGGGUUACCUGAGCAGCUGAGCUUCAAACAUGGCUUCUAUGGCGUCACCUCUCACAAGACACGGCAACUGCUUUCUUAGGUAUGGUAAUGGUUACAAUGGUCGCUCUCCUAUUUCUCGCAUCGCCGCUUCUCAGCAAGAGCACCCGCAACAGCUUCAGCCGGAGCAGAGGAAAUCGAACAACCAAAUGGGUCGACGGGAGAUUGUGUUGAGGAGCUGCGAAAUCGCAGCUAUCCUCAAUUUAAG